UACGAAGGGGGCUAGCGUUGUUCGGAAUCACUGGGCGUAAAGCGCGUGUAGGCGGAUCGUUAAGUCGGGGGUGAAAUCCUGGAGCUCAACUCCAGAACUGCCUUUGAUACUGGGAAUCUCGAGUCCGGGAGAGGUGAGUGGAACUGCGAGUGUAGAGGUGAAAUUCGUAGAUAUUCGCAAGAACACCAGUGGCGAAGGCGGCUAACUGGUCCAGUACUGACGCUGAGGUGCGAAAGCGUGGGGAGCA
rnacentral:rRNA from 1 species